rnacentral:rRNA from 1 species
AGAACGAACGCUGGCGGCAUGCCUAAUACAUGCAAGUCGAACGAACACUUCGGUGUUAGUGGCGCACGGGUGCGUAACGCGUGGGAAUCUGCCCUUGGGUUCGGAAUAACAGUUGGAAACGACUGCUAAUACCGGAUGAUAUCGAAAGAUCAAAGAUUUAUCGCCCAGGGAUGAGCCCGCGUAGGAUUAGCUAGUUGGUGAGGUAAAGGCUCACCAAGGCGACGAUCCUUAGCUGGUCUGAGAGGAUGAUCAGCCACACUGGGACUGAGACACGGCCCAGACUCCUACGGGAGGCAGCAGUAGGGAAUAUUGGACAAUGGGCGCAAGCCUGAUCCAGCAAUGCCGCGUGAGUGAUGAAGGCCUUAGGGUUGUAAAGCUCUUUUACCCGAGAUGAUAAUGACAGUAUCGGAGAAUAAGCCCCGGAUAACUCCGCACCAGCAGCCGC